CCUACGGGAGGCAGCAGUGGGGAAUAUUGCGCAAUGGGCGAAAGCCUGACGCAGCGACGCCGCGUGAGGGAUGAAGUUCUUCGGAUCGUAAACCUCUGUCAGCAGGGAAGAACGGUCACUCUGCUAAUCAGCAGUGAAUUGACGCUACCUGAGUAAGAAGCGCCGGCUAACUACGUGCCAGCAGCCGCGGUAAUACGUAGGGGGCAAGCGUUAUCCGGAUUUACGGUGUGUAAAGGGAGCGUAGACGGCAGUGCAAGUCUGGAGUGAAAGGCGGGGGCUCAACCCCCGGACUGCUCUGGAAACUGUAUGGCUGGAGUGCAGGAGAGGUAAGUGGAAUUCCUAGUGUAGCGGUGAAAUGCGUAGAUAUUAGGAGGAACACCAGUGGCGAAGGCGGCUUACUGGACUGUAACUGACGUUGAGGCUCGAAAGCGUGGGGAGCAAACAGGAUUAGAUACCCGAGUAGUC
rnacentral:rRNA from 1 species